CCUACGGGGGGCAGCAGUAGGGAAUCUUCCACAAUGGGCGCAAGCCUGAUGGAGCAACACCGCGUGAGUGAAGAAGGGUUUCGGCUCGUAAAGCUCUGUUGUUGGAGAAGAACGUGCGUGAGAGUAACUGUUCACGCAGUGACGGUAUCCAACCAGAAAGUCACGGCUAACUACGUGCCAGCAGCCGCGGUAAUACGUAGGUGGCAAGCGUUAUCCGGAUUUAUUGGGCGUAAAGCGAGCGCAAGCGGUUGCUUAGGUCUGAUGUGAAAGCCUUCGGCUUAACCGAAGAAGUGCAUCGGAAACCGGGCAACUUGAGUGCAGACGAGGACAGUGGAACUCCAGGUGUAGCGGUGGAAUGCGUAGAUAUAUGGAAGAACACCAGUGGCGAAGGCGGCUGUCUGGUCUGCAACUGACGCUGAGGCUCGAAAGCAUGGGUAGCGAACAGGAUUAGAUACCCCAGUAGUC
rnacentral:rRNA from 1 species